CAAUAGCGUAUAUUAAAGUUGUUGCGGUUAAAAAGUUCGUAGUUGGGUUUUUGUGAAUUAGAUCCCUGCGAUCCAAGUGGUCGAUGUGCGGUUGCUUUUUCACAUGUGUCUAGGUAGUCGGCAGCAAUGUCGUGUUAUCUAGAUGUGUUACUUUGAGGAAAUUAGAGUGUUCCAAGCAGGCAUAAGCUAUGAAUAUUUUAGCAUGGAAUAACAAAAUAUGGCAUCGGUUUUAUUUUGUUGGUUUCUAGAACUGAAGCAAUGAUUAAUAGGAGCGGUCAGGGGCAUUCGUAUUUAACUGUCAGAGGUGAAAUUCUUGGAUUAGUUAAGGACGAACUACUGCGAAAGCAUUUGCCAGGGACGUGUCCAUUGA
rnacentral:rRNA from 1 species